rnacentral:rRNA from 1 species
UACGGAGGGGGCAAGCGUUAUUCGGAAUUAUUGGGCGUAAAGGGCGCGUAGGCGGCUUGGCAAGUGGAUGGUGAAAUCCCUCGGCUUAACCGAGGAACUGCCGUCCAAACUGCUUCGCUUGAGACCGGGAGAGGUGAGUGGAAUUCCCAGUGUAGCGGUGAAAUGCGUAGAUAUUGGGAGGAACACCAGUGGCGAAGGCGGCUCACUGGACCGGUACUGACGCUGAGGCGCGAAAGCGUGGGGAGCAAACGGG